AUCGGCGGUUUUGAAGCUGGUUCUUCAACGACGAACGCCGAUCUCCUAGAGAUAACUAGUGAUCCUUGAACCUGAACUAAUCUUUCGAUCACAUGCAAUUACAACUGAACAGUAUCCGUUCAGUAUAUUAUCACGUACAGUGUUUUAAAACAGAGAAAGAGUCGAAAGGGUUUCAGGUAUACUACGACUGCACAAAACGGAAUUGAAUCGCGAGAAAUGGAAACCAUCAUAAAGGUAUUAAAACCUAUUCGACACCGGCUACACGACAACGGCACCGGUGUCAACUGCUCACUUAGGUAAUUUGUUACCUGACCUACUGACUUCUGCUGCUAAUAAAAGUUAUUUUCCCCAGCAAAA